AUGCUGCGCAGCAGGAAGUAGGAGGAACACAAGCCCCAUCCCUGCAGGGGCUCUGCCUGGGGCCAGGCAGGGACCUGAGAGCUGGUGCCCUGCAGCCAGGGUGAGCUCACCCAGCCAGGAGGGCCCACUGCCCUCAGGCGCUGGAGUGGUGGGAGGCAGAGCAGCUCCCAGAGCAGGACUGAGCUGAGGCUGAAGGACCUGGGUGGAGGCAGGCAGGACAGUGGCUACAGCAAGGACAUCUGGAGAAUGGAGACAGGACCUUCCUGAGGGCACUGAGGUGUGACAGUCAGGAUGCCAGGGCACUGCAGAGGCACAGUGACCCGGGUGGAUGGCAGUGCAUUAACAGGAGCCCUGUGGUCCUGGCAAGGGAGCUCUGGCUUUGCUAGGGUGGUGACUGGUGUGGGGGUGGUGGGGUGAGUGUAGAAGACACCCAGGUUGUCCCGGGAACAGGCAUCCUGUCCUGGGCAGCCUGGGACCCGGGCAGCUGCAGCCCCUCCCUGGCCUCGGCUCCCUGCUGGCAGAAGGCUGUGGCUGGUCUGGACCAUGUGGAGAUCAGUGUUGUGUCUGGAGCUACUGACUCCUCCCUCCCUGAGUCCCCACCCUCGGGCCAUGUGUCCUUCUCCUCCAGAAUGGAAGCGCAGGGCUCUGGCUCCCAGACAGCAUGGUGGCCUUCGUGGGCAGGAGCGCCCCUCACCAGGGGCCCGGGGCUGGCCUCUUCCCUGAGCUGGAGGGGCUGUGCGCUGUAGAUCACAGGGACAGUGAGGUGUCACCUCUCACCACAGAGGACCCUAAAGUUGUCUGUGACCCUCCAUCCGGGUCUCGUUCCACUCUGGCUGCCUCAGACCUGACCCCAGAACAGGUCCCCAGCCCUCAGCCAGGCCCGCCAGCCACCCAAGGCCGACCUGAGGACCAGCUCGCCACCUUCGACUUCAAUGGCCCCUACCUUGGGUCGCCACACAGCUGCUCCCUGCCUGACCUCGCCGGCCAGCGUGCACCACCACAGGGCCCCAAGCCAGCCCUGCCAGGCUCCCUGGAGUACCUGUGUCUGCCCCCCGGGGGACAGGUGCAGCUGGUGCCUCUGACCCAGGUCACAGGGCAGGGACAGGCUGCCCAUGAGGAAGUAGGGGGAGGCCCUGCCCCUCCUGCAUCUGAGCCCAGGGGCCAGGCACAGGACCCAGAGGACAGCCCAGCUAUUCUGCCCACAAGCUCUGAGGGCCCUGAGCACCUGGUCCUGGCCUCUGGUUAUGUCACCACUGCAGACCUGGCACUAACCUUGUCCACAGGGGCCUCAUCUGUCUCCCUGGCCCCCGCUCUGGGCCUCCAGGACCCCUGCCUCUGUCCAGGCCUGCCCCCCGCAGGGCCCCCCAUAACCCCACUCCCUGAGAAGCCAGGAUUUGAGGGCUAUGUGGAGCUUCCUCCAACCAUGGGGGCACCCCCCAUGUCCCUUCUGGGCAGUCCUGCAUCCAGCAACCCUGUCCUGAGCCCAGGGGAGCCCCGGGCAGAUGUGCCCCUGCCGUCCCCAACUCCUGAGGGGCUCCUGGUCCUGCAGCAGGUAGGGGACUACAGCUUCUUCCCUGGCCUAGGACCUGGCCCCUUCUCACCCCGAAGCAAACCCUCUUCCCCAGGACCCUGUCCGGAGAGAGCAGACAUUGAGCGGGGUUCCACAGUCCAGAAACCUCCAGACCAGCCUGUACCCCAGGUGCCUGCCAUUCAGUUCUUUUAA
rnacentral:lncRNA from 1 species